CACGUAGGGUGCGAGCGUUGUCCGGAAUUAUUGGGCGUAAAGAGCUCGUAGGCGGUGUGUCGCGUCGGCCGUGAAAACCUGUGGCUUAACCAUGGGCUUGCGGUCGAUACGGGCAUCACUGGAGUUCGGCAGGGGAGUCUGGAAUUCCUGGUGUAGCGGUGAAAUGCGCAGAUAUCAGGAGGAACACCGGUGGCGAAGGCGGGACUCUGGGCCGAUACUGACGCUGAGGAGCGAAAGCGUGGGGAGCAAACAGG
rnacentral:rRNA from 1 species